rnacentral:lncRNA from 1 species
GUUCCACGUGGCCCAGGAUAAACAAUGAGCAAAUCGCAUCGAUUCGGAGCAGCCAGCUUGCAUCGCUAAUCAUAUUUCUGAAAGAUGCCAACAGAGGGCAUCCGCUGCCAGACACACAGCCUGCAUCCUCCUGCUGCAAACCCUCCGCCUGUAUUCAGCUAAAGAACAUCUCAGCUUUUAACCCUCUCCCACUUGGGCUCAGGUUAAGCAUUGUCAGUGGCUUUUUAAGCAAAUAGGCUUUUUUUAGUGGUGUUUUUUUUUACCUUUCUUUUGGAGAGAAGAGAAGGAAGAGGGUGGGGGAACAAUAAUCCACAGCUGCAGUCUCUUGGUCAAGGCAGGACUUUGAUAACUGGUGUCUAAGUGGGAUCUCUGUAGAGCCUGGCAGAGCAAGAGCCAGGUUCAAAGGGAAGGUGGAGGCUCUGAUGUUGUCCUGUGCAGCUGUAAACAAAAUCAGAAGCACUGCUGUGCUGGGGCUGGAGGAGAGUGGGAGCCUUCGUGACAGAUGUCCUGUCUUUUGUGGGCUUAAAUAGUCAGUUUUAUUUAUAGGUGUUUAUUCCUGGUGUUUAAUCUCCUUGUUUCAUGUCUCUCGUGGACAGUCAAAAAGAAAUCGAACUUCUAAAGCCUGCUGCUCCCUCUGGUAAAUACACAUUGAUGUUUGGGCUGUGGAGCAGGCUCACUCUGAGCACGCUGUUGCUCUUAUUUUGUUAAGAUCUCACACCAAAGCAGCUGAGACCUUCCCAGGCUAGGAUGCAGGCAUGUUAAUCCAGCUUUGACUGGGGCAGCAGAGGUCCCAAGGCAAGGGCUGGUGUCAGAGGCAGGGCUUGAGUGAGGGUUAGGGAUGGCAGAUGUGGAAGGAAAACCUGGAUGUCAGGAAGCAGAGAAAGCGAGGGCUGCUCUGCAAAGGGCAGCAGCAGGGGGAGAGGAAUUGGCUGCUGCAAGGGGAGGGGGGCAAAGCGAGGCAGGCAGCGGGCUGGGAGUCCCAGCAGUGGGGGAGAGGCAGGGAGAAGCAGGUGGCAGGGCUGUGCUGGCAUUAAAGUGCAGGCAGGAGCCCCCCUGCUCGGCCCGGGGCUGCCCGGGAGGCGCAGGUAGAGCCGAGCCCCGAGCCCCCCAGCCCGGGGGGAGGACGCGGCGCCCCGAGCAGCAUCCCCCAGCCUCGGAGGACGGGGGGAAGGCGGCCGGGCCCCCGGAGCGGGGCCGUGCGAGCCCUCGCUGGGCCUCGGAGCGGGGCCGGGGCGGGGGCGGCGGCGGGGCCGGGGGCGGACCCGAGGCGGAG